CCCGCACAAGCGGUGGAGCAUGUGGUUUAACUCGACGCAACGCGAAGAACCUUACCAGGGCUUGACAUCCCCUGACCGCGUAUGAAAGUACGUUUUCACCCUCGGGUGACAGGGAGACAGGUGGUGCAUGGUUGUCGUCAGCUCGUGUCGUGAGAUGUUGGGUUAAGUCCCGCAACGAGCGCAACCCCUACGUUUAGUUGCUAACGCGUGAAGGCGAGCACUCUAGACGAACUGCCGUUGACAAAACGGAGGAAGGUGGGGAUGACGUCAAAUCAUCAUGCCCCUUAUGUUCUGGGCUACACACGUGCUACAAUGGCCGGUACAGACGGACGCAAAGCCGCGAGGUGGAGCAAAUCCUAAAAAGCCGGUCUCAGUUCGGAUUGCAGGCUGCAAUUCGCCUGCAUGAAGUCGGAAUCGCUAGUAAUCGCAGGUCAGCAUACUGCGGUGAAUACGUUCCCGGGCCUU
rnacentral:rRNA from 1 species